GAUGAACGCUGGCGGCGUGCCUAAUACAUGCAAGUCGAGCGAACAGAUAAGGAGCUUGCUCCUUUGACGUUAGCGGCGGACGGGUGAGUAACACGUGGGUAACCUACCUAUAAGACUGGGAUAACUUCGGGAAACCGGAGCUAAUACCGGAUAACAUUUGGAACCGCAUGGUUCUAAAGUGAAAGAUGGUUUUGCUAUCACUUAUAGAUGGACCCGCGCCGUAUUAGCUAGUUGGUAAGGUAACGGCUUACCAAGGCAACGAUACGUAGCCGACCUGAGAGGGUGAUCGGCCACACUGGAACUGAGACACGGUCCAGACUCCUACGGGAGGCAGCAGUAGGGAAUCUUCCGCAAUGGGCGAAAGCCUGACGGAGCAACGCCGCGUGAGUGAUGAAGGGUUUCGGCUCGUAAAACUCUGUUAUUAGGGAAGAACAAACGUGUAAGUAACUGUGCACGUCUUGACGGUACCUAAUCAGAAAGCCACGGCUAACUACG
rnacentral:rRNA from 1 species